GGCAGCAGCCAUGUCACCCUGCAACUCACAACUGGCGGCCGCACUGGAGCUCAGCAGGUGGGAGCCUGGUCAGUACCUGGAGGGGAGACCUCCUGGGAAAAACUAAGGUUGCUGCUGGGA
rnacentral:rRNA from 1 species